AAGACUACACUUUCAGGGACCACUGUUCAUAGUGUGUAACUAGAGAAGGGUCUGAAAGGAGCAGAGCAUGGGGCAUUAGAAACCCCGAGGAAGAGCUGUGGCGCUCUCUCUGUGUGCUGUUGGCCAGUAGUGCCACCUGGUGGACCUCUGCCUUUCUGUUGAAAAUUGUUCUUUUCUUCCUUAAAGGCAGAGGACACAGAUUGAGGGAU